rnacentral:rRNA from 1 species
AUUGAACGCUGGCGGCAUGCCUUACACAUGCAAGUCGAACGGCAGCACGGGUGCUUGCACCUGGUGGCGAGUGGCGAACGGGUGAGUAAUACAUCGGAACGUACCUUAUCGUGGGGGAUAACGCAGCGAAAGCUGUGCUAAUACCGCAUACGCCCUGAGGGGGAAAGCGGGGGAUCGAAAGACCUCGCGCGAUUAGAGCGGCCGAUGCCUGAUUAGCUUGUUGGUGGGGUAAAAGCCCACCAAGGCGACGGUCAGUAGCUGGUCUGAGAGGACGAUCAGCCACACUGGGACUGAGACACGGCCCAGACUCCUACGGGAGGCAGCAGUGGGGAAUUUUGGACAAUGGGGGCAACCCUGAUCCAGCAAUGCCGCGUGAGUGAAGAAGGCCUUCGGGUUGUGAAGCUCUUUUGUCAGGGAAGAAACACCGGCUCUAACACAGUCCGGGAAUGACGGUACCUGAAGAAUAAGCACCGGCUAACUACGUGCCAGCAGCCGCCGCAG